AAAUUGAUAGGGAUGCCAAGGAGUGUUCUGAGGAACGGCUCUUUGUGCGGAGGGAGAGGCCAAGAACUGUUCUGAGGAAUGGUGCUUGGUUAUCUUUCUGCGGAGGGAGGUCGUGCUGGGCACAAACCAGGGGUAGUGGAGGGAGGAAGACGGACUGUUCUGAGGAAUGGUGCUUGGUUAUCUUUCUACGGAGGGAGGUCGUGUUGGACACAAAACAGGAGGAGUAGAGGAGAGGAGGCGAAGGACUGUUUUGAAGGUGUUUCACCGCGUUCGGGUUGCGCGGGUUGGGGAGGGCGGAAGGAGUUUGCAGCCGGUCGUGGCCGGCGCAAAGGGGAUGAGUUGGUUCUGAUUGCGGAGGAUGGCGUGGGGCGGUAUUGAGAAGCAGCAGGGGAGGUUUUUUCAUUUUCUGCAGUUUGUGAUUUUUCAGAGAUUUUCAGAGAUUUUCAGUUUCCAGUUUCAUCUUCCUCAGCUCAGUUUUGGAGAGAGAGUGUGGCAGCGGGAAAAAGUGAGAUGCGCGCGCAGUGCGUUG
rnacentral:misc_RNA from 1 species